GGGGAGCCGGUGUGUGAAGCCGGCACCACGUUAGCGGAACCGAGUUAUUGAAGGGCCCCACCUGGGUGGAGCCGUGAGUGUGAGCAGCUUCCGCUUCCCCCGGAAGCUGGCGUCGUGCAGGAACCCUCACCCGCCCGAGCGGGGCCCUGGGCCUCCGGGUCACUCUCUGUGGCGGGGUCUGGCUGCGCGUCAGACGGCCUCCUCCAAUGCCCGCAGUUGCUGUCGCCCCCAGGCCUGGACCGGGGAGUGAGGGGUGGGCCUGACCGGCCCCUGAGCUCCCGUCAGCCCCCCACGCGAGCCCGUCCUGUGCUGGGGGCAGGGAGAUGGGCCGGUGGGAGAGGAGACCGCAUCCAGCCCUCCCUGGCCACCUGCAGGGUCCCCACCGUGGCGGCUGCUUUACUGCUAACUCCUCCCGGGGACCCCAAGUCCCCAUCGCUCUCGGGGGUCCCCCUCAUCCGAACCGCCUCGGAGGAGGGCCGCAUCUCACGCGGAGCACCCCUCCACGCCUGUGACCCUGGACUUGCUCUCCCGCCCCCGCCCGGGCCUCAGGGCUCAGGAGGCCGUGAUGAAGCCAGCAGGUGAACUGCACCCUGGAGCCUCCGACGGGGCGGCCACGGGCAGCGAAGAACCCGGAAAAACAGUACCCUUCUGAGGUUAAUCCGCGUUGAUAGAAGCAGGUGUGGUUCAUCUGGAAUCUGUUGGUGUGAACUGCGCGGCGGCGUCCCCCACCAGGCACCACAGGCCCGGCGGGUGGUGUGGGGGCCGCAUCUCAUGGAGGUCUCCGUCCACGUUGCCCCCAUUGUGACCGCAGCGGGCGCCUCUUGGUAGCAGCCACCGGCCUCUUCUGGGACUCGCCGGAGGGUUUCCACGUCGCCCGCUCCGACGGGGCUGUUCAUCUCCCCUUGAUCUGUGGGACUCCCCGUCCGUCUCAGGUUGCAUUCCAUGGGCCCGGGAGCCUUUUUUGGACAGACGCCGUGGUGUGACUCCAGCUGAGCUGCCCCCUUGGCCAGGGCCACCAGAGGCAGCCCCCUGCCUCCAGAUCAAGAGCCCACCCACCCUCACGGGUGGCCAGGAGCUGGCCCCUGGCCUGUGGGCCGGCCUGGCUGCCUUGGUCAUGGCAGGAAGGAUCCAUCACUGCUGCCUGAUGGAUGAUCUGAGCCGCCUCCUGCCCGCGCCCCGUGCUGUUUCAGCUGCAGAAAAAUGUUUAUCACUCGGCACAGCAGCGACCCUCCCUCCCUGCCUGCCUCCCUCCCUGCCUGCCUCCCUCCCUCCCUCCCUCCCUCCCUCCUUCCUUC
rnacentral:lncRNA from 1 species